UGCUGGAAUUACAGGCGUGAGCCACCGCGCCUGGCUGCAAGGUAAUAUUUCUAAAAUGCAAGAAUUUUUGCUCUGUUAAAGUGUUUAAAUUGUGAAUUAUAAAGUGUCCUUAUUUCUCCACUUUGCAAUGACGAAUAAAAAGUGUCUGGGAAUGGGAUAGAAAGGAGGACAAUGACAGUGGAGAAAAGUAUAAAGAGCUUCAGGUACAAUCAGAUUUCUUCUCAAGAUAUCUAGCUACCCCAGAGGCAGUUUGGAAACCACAGCAAGCUUCAUUUGUGCAUAUUUAUUUAUGGUCUAUCCAAGGACAAAAUUUUCCAUACACUUAUCUUUGUAUAUUGGCUUUACUUAUCUCUGUCUCAUCAGGGGUCCUUCAGUGAAACUUGGCUGUUUUCCUGAUGGAGUACACAAUCUAUUUCCAAGCUAUACAUCUCACAAAUGUUAAAGGUCCCACUGUAUAAUUAUACACACACUUGAAGAUGGACACGACAACGUGAUGAAUAAUGAGAAACGAUGCCUGAAGUGUCUGCUACACAUUCAGUACUGAAGAGUCAAGAUUUUCUCCCUUUUCCUUUCACAACUCAACUAUCCUUUUCUUUUUCCUCAUCAUCCCCCAUCAGCAACAAGAAGGUAUUUAGUCUGAUUUUUUGUUAGGAACAGUAAGAAAUUUUUUCUAAUUUCUUUUUGGAUUGUAUUUCAUUUAAAUGUACAUUAUUGUUAAAUUACACAUCAUCUUUCCUUCCCCUCCUCAACUUGUUAU
rnacentral:lncRNA from 1 species